CAGUAGCCGCGGUAAUACGUAGGGUGCAAGCGUUAAUCGGAAUUACUGGGCGUAAAGCGUGCGCAGGCGGUGUUGUAAGACUGAUGUGAAAUCCCCGGGCUCAACCUGGGAACUGCAUUGGUGACUGCAACGCUGGAGUGCGGCAGAGGGGGAUGGAAUUCCGCGUGUAGCAGUGAAAUGCGUAGAUAUGCGGAGGAACACCGAUGGCGAAGGCAAUCCCCUGGGCCUGCACUGACGCUCAUGCACGAAAGCGUGGGGAGCAAACAGGAUUAGAUACCCCGGUAGUCCCUGUCUCUUAUAA
rnacentral:rRNA from 1 species